UCCGUAGGUGAACCUGCGGAAGGAUCAUUACACUCAGUAGAUUUCUACUGCUCAGGGGGAGCGGAAAGUGCCUAGCUUGCUUUGGCAGGUGAAGUGCGAGUACGCUCUCUGUCUGAACCCUUGUCUUUUUGCGUACUCAUGUUUCCUCGGUGGGCUUGCCCGCCGAUUGGACACCUUAAUAACCUUUUUAAUUUUCAAUCAGCGUCUGAACAAUUAUAAUAAUUACAACUUUCAACAACGGAUCUCUUGGUUCUGGCAUCGAUGAAGAACGCAGCGAAAUGCGAUAAGUAGUGUGAAUUGCAGAAUUCAGUGAAUCAUCGAAUCUUUGAACGCACAUUGCGCCCCUUGGUAUUCCAUGGGGCAUGCUUGUUCGAGCGUCAUUUGUACCCUCAAGCUUUGCUUGGUGUUGGGUGUUUGUCCUUUCCCCGCGUUAGGACUCGCCUUAAAAUUCAUUGGCAGCCGAUGUAUUGGUUUGAAGCGCAGCACAAUUUUGCGCGUCAGGCUAGUUAUCAUCAGCGUCCAUUAAGCCUAUUUAACACUUUUGACCUCGGAUCAAGUAGGGAUACCUGCUGAACUUAAGCAUAUCAAUAAGGCGGGAGGGGAAGGUCGGACUGGCCAAGGGCACACAGGGGGGG
rnacentral:rRNA from 1 species